rnacentral:lncRNA from 1 species
GACAGUAUAUUGGUUUGUAUUACGUGAAUAUGAUAAUUUUUACAAAUGAUCAUACCCCAUUUAUAUAGUAAGGGAGUCCUACUCUUGAUACAGUUUUAUAUGAGGUAAGAAAUCUCAUGAUUAGCUAAUUAAUCGGCCUCUUCUUGAUACGUGCCGGGAUUUUCGCCCGAUUGCGGAUAUUUCGAUUUUCGUUAUUUGGCUCGGUAAGUUUCCUUCGAUCUUGCUCGAUCUCUAUCUUGCUCGAUCUCGAUCUUGGCCGAUCCCGAUCUCGAUCUUGAUCAGUCUCUGGGUCAUGAGCUCGACGAUCUAACUUUGCACCAUGGUUGGAUAUAACACGGUGUAGAACCUUGACCUAUCGUAUUCCAAUCUCGAUUAGUCACACAAAGGGCAAACCCGAUUUUGACUGUAUACACCCCUUUGGAAGACGGAUUAUCACAAAUUAGUUUGAAAUAAAUAAAGUACUCCCUUCGGUCCACAAUAAGUGACUAAUUUGCUUUUUUUUUUUCCCAAAAUAAGUGUCCAUUUAUAUAAUCAAGAAAAAUAUUCAAUUUGUUUUUUCAAAAUUACCCUUAUGCACAUAUCUCUAAAAAAUUAUUUACUCCUCACAUUUGGGGAGAGAAGUAAGUACUACUAUAAUUAUGGUGCAACAUUUAAUGAAGGGUAGUUUAGUCACACUAACUAUUUUUAUCUAGAAUUUAGUUUCUUAAUGGGUAUGCCCCAACCAAAUUGGUCACUUAUUGAGGACCGGAGGGAGUAACUUAAAACUAAGAAUUUUCGGAUCAUUAAAAAAAAAAUAAUCUACGUAGGAGUGAAGCCGUUUGUUUCUUCUUUUCGAAGGCGUUUGUUUGAAAACUAGAUAUAAGCAGUCCAUGCUAAAGUCAGCCUGGAUAAUUUAUUUUUUUGCAAGUCUUUUCUGUUUCUAUAUUUUUUUUCCUAGGUGCUAGUCAAUUAAGAUUUGACAAUAUCAAAUAAUUGGCAUAUGUGCAUGAGCACACUAAAAAAAGAAACGAACUUAACAGAAAUUGUGAAAUGCAUCAUGCAACUCAAAUGCAUAUACAGCUUUGAUAGGUAAAUAAAAUUUGAAUAAGUAAAUAUGAUUUCAAUUGGCCAAUUGAAUUUCUUUUACCAUGGCCACUGUGCUCCUGAGAUUAAUGAAUAUAAAAGAAAGAAAAGUUUGUCAACUUCCUACCUCCCUGAGAACCAGUACUAAAUGAGGUAUUUAUACAUAACUGGAGGGAGCUACCUGAAGAGGCUAAAAGAUAGUUAAGGAUGGAUAAAUUACUUGCAAUUCUCAUCUUCCAGGGCGUAAAUAGCAAAAAGGAUAUACCAAUUUUGAAAACUAACAAGAAUACAUAUCUAAUUUAGGAAUGAUAAGGUUGUACAUAGCUAAUAUAAAUGGAGUCCUUCAUGAUCUUAGAUUUGUAAGAAUUGGGUGGCUGUAUAUUGUUUCAGGAAAGCUAGGCUCAAAGUCCUCUUCCUUAUGUAAUCGUGUUUAAGCAUAUAUAACCUUUUCCAUCCAAAAAUCAAGCAGGGAGGUUCCUUUACAAAAAAAGACCGCUAUUACAAAAUGGUGAAAAACUAAAUAUCAUCUUGAACAGGGAACUACUUCGAUCAUAGUUGAAGACUGGUAAAAUCCAUUCAAACCAUCAAAAGAAGAAUAAGAUUAGAGUAGAGUGCUAGUACAAUAUAGGAAUGCAAAACAAGAGAAAGAAACUGUUUAAAUAUUAAUACCAAAUUGGCUCGAAAAUAACAUUGUGUGAUAUUAUUUUUUUUUGGGUAAGUAGCAUAAGUUCCUGUGUAAUUCUAAUCUUGAUGCUCUUCUCCCAAGCAAUCCACAGAAUCUCAAGCAACUUGGCGUGCGAUGUUAUCAAUUAGUUGAUCUAUUAGUGUGCCUAAAACAUAGCAACAUUCAUAUUAAAUUUUACAUAAGUCACCUCACAUAAUUGUUACAAAAUGGGCUUAACUAAUUAACACAUUAGCUUUAUUAUCUCACAUAUUAAUAUUAUUAACUCAAACACUCAAGAUUAUAAAAAAUAUCAAUGAAAACAUUCAAACAUCCAAAGAUCGAAAGAAACACAUAUUCUUGCAUUAAAAGCUAUCGCAUUGAAUAAUAAAAUGCCAGCCCUAAUAUCUUGCAAUAUAGCUUUUAAAGAAUCCAUUUGGAACUCCAAAUCUUGCCCCUUCUUUAAAUAACCUCAAUUGUUUAUUUAAACGUCACCUCACCAAAAUAACUUUCUCCUAAAAGAACUUACAUGUAAGCCCGAGAAAUCAAAAAAUUAUCCAACAACUCAAAAUUAGGAUUACUAUUCACAUUUAGUUUAACUAACACAAAACUAAUUGAAAAGAAGUGGCCUCAUGCCCUUAUCUUUUGUUCAGAAAAGGAAUUCACAAGAAUGCUACAACCAAUAAUGAAGGUAAAAACUGAACCAUAUGUCUAGAAGUCUUGUUGAUCAAAUAUAUAUCAUCAGAUAAGCAAAAUAAAGUUAGAUAUAACAUGCUCAACUAAACCUUUGCCAUUCAACACUUUUUAGCUACUUUUUAUACAAAAAAAGAAGGAAAAGAACGCCAGCAACUAAUGCUUGUUGCACCUGAAAUUGGUACAUUAUAAACUCACACAUAAUUCAAGAUAAGUCGAAUAACUCCAAUUCAGGAUUGACUACUAAUAUCUUUUUGUCUAAUGACAUAAAAAAAAGCUAAAAGGCUCAUACUAUCCGGAAAAAGUCAUCGCAUUGGUAAAAAAUUGACAAUAUGCUUUAUAUUUGAGGCAUGUAAGGUGUAUUCAUUACUGGAAGCACCAAGAAAGUGUUGGUUUACGAAAGAUAAAAGAAACUGGAGAUCCAAGAGCACCUACAAUAAAUGAUUGAUAGGUUUAUCUCUAAAAUUAAUUGCCACAACAAAAACAGAAAGACAUUUAAAAUAUAUGCCUAAUCUUCGUGGAAAGGUUUUCUAAUGCUUCAUAAGGUAGGAGUACUUUAAACACACUUGUUUAAAGUAUGCAAGAAUAUGUGUGUCAACAAACUUCAUACAAUAGAGGAGCAGAAAGCUAUGACUUUUCUGCUGAAGCCACUGGAUAUGGCGGCAAAGUUGCCGGUGAUGUCAUUUUUUGCUGCACGUUCUACCAUUUGACUCUGAUUAUAAAGCUCAUUUGUUUAUUUACAACAUUCUAACAUCCCCAAUUUAGAAUUUUAUGUAAAAAUUAUAGAAUCCCAGAAACUACAGAAUCAUAAUUAUCAAUUUAUAACCAAAAAAAUAAAUGCAAACACUUAAAUUAAUUAAUUACCUUUCUGAAGCAAAGUUGGACCUUUAGAGUAAGCUAAACCCAAUUUGUAUAUUCAAAUACUUGGUUAAGAACUCCAUGAAUCGAACUGAAAUGUCAAGCAACACCACUUUAGAGAAACCUAAUGGCAGAAAUGAAGCUUCAUUUAUUUGAGAUUUCACAAAUCAAAGACGAAAUUUAUGUUUUAGGAACAAAAGAAAGUUCUAGAAAAAAUAACGAGCGAAGAGUUUGAGAGAGAGACAAAGAGUCCAAAAUGAG